GAUGAACGCUAGCGGCAGGCCUAAUACAUGCAAGUCGAACGGUAAUCGAUCGGAGCUUGCUCUGUUUGAUGAGAGUGGCGGACGGGUGCGUAACGCGUGAGCAACCUGCCCAUGUCAGGGGGAUAGCCCGUUGAAAGACGGAUUAAUACCGCAUGAAGAUAUUUACCGGCAUCGGUUUAUAUCCAAAUAUUUAUAGGACAUGGAUGGGCUCGCGUGACAUUAGCUAGUUGGUAAGGUAACGGCUUACCAAGGCUAUGAUGUCUAGGGGCUCUGAGAGGAGAAUCCCCCACACUGGUACUGAGACACGGACCAGACUCCUACGGGAGGCAGCAGUAAGGAAUAUUGGUCAAUGGGCGAUAGCCUGAACCAGCCAUGCCGCGUGCAGGAUGACUGCCCUCUGGGUUGUAAACUGCUUUUGUACGGGAACAACCGUCCCGACGUGUCGGGGCCUGAGUGUACCGUAAGAAUAAGGAUCGGCUAACUCCGUGCCAGCAGCCGCGGUAAUACGGAGGAUCCGAGCGUUAUCCGGAAUUAUUGGGUUUAAAGGGUGCGUAGGCGGGCGUUUAAGUCAGGGGUGAAAUACAGCGGCUCAACCGUUGCAGUGCCUUUGAUACUGAAUGUCUUGAAUAUGUUCGAAGGAGGCGGAACGGGACAAGUAGCGGUGAAAUGCAUAGAUAUGUCCCAGAACCCCGAUUGCGCAGGCAGCUUCCUAGGCCAUUAUUGACGCUGAUGCACGAAAGCGUGGGUAUCGAACAGGAUUAGAUACCCUGGUAGUCCACGCCCUAAACGAUGAUGACUCGAUGUUGGCGAUAUACUGUCAGUGUCCCAGCGAAAGCGUUAAGUCAUCCACCUGGGGAGUACGGUCGCAAGAUUGAAACUCAAAGGAAUUGACGGGGGCCCGCACAAGCGGAGGAGCAUGUGGUUUAAUUCGAUGAUACGCGAGGAACCUUACCCGGGCUUGAAAGUUAGUGAAGGAUCCAGAGACGGGUCCGUCCUUCGGGACACGAAACUAGGUGCUGCAUGGCUGUCGUCAGCUCGUGCCGUGAGGUGUUGGGUUAAGUCCCGCAACGAGCGCAACCCCUAUGUUUAGUUGCCAGCAUGUUAUGGUGGGGACUCUAAACAGACUGCCGGCGUAAGCCGUGAGGAAGGUGGGGACGACGUCAAGUCAUCAUGGCCCUUACGUCCGGGGCUACACACGUGCUACAAUGGCCGGUACAGCGGGUUGCUCCCUGGUAACAGGCUGCCAAUCUCUAAAAGCCGGUCACAGUUCGGAUCGGGGCCUGCAACUCGGCCCCGUGAAGCUGGAUUCGCUAGUAAUCGCGUAUCAGCAAUGACGCGGUGAAUACGUUCCCGGGCCUUGUACACACCGCC
rnacentral:rRNA from 1 species